rnacentral:lncRNA from 1 species
UCGCAACACUAUAAUUCGAGCUAGGACUGAAGAUGGACAUGGAUGUCCAGUGGAAAGGGAGACACUGGGAACUCUAGUCAAAAAUCAAGAAACUCAUCUGCUGAAGCCAAGCUGAAACAAUGUAUGAUUCAUAUACUACACAAACUUCCGGUACAUGUGUAGCUCUAGUAGCUAAUGGUCUAUCAAAGGGUUCAUGCACAAGAGCAUCAGAUAUAGCACAGCCUAAGCUAGGUCUCUAACCUUGUCUUCUUUUUAAUGUUAACUCUCAGGCCAUUCUGUGCAAUGAGCAAAGUCGUAAGGCAGCACAGGAAAUAGUAAUGGCAUGCACUU